ACGGCAGAUGGGCAGAGGAGACGGGUAGUGUCUGUCCUGAACCUCCUGUCAUUGGAACAAAGAUCUGAGGUUUCUCUCAUCUGCUAACAUCGUUGUGGUUUAGGAUUACAAAGCUGGCCUUUCGGUGCCCGCCUUCCAGUGCCAACCUAGCUACGUUGCCUAAAACGAUCCAUUUUCCUUGCGUGAUCUCCUGGAGACAUCCAAAACCACUUGACUGAUGUGAGAUCAGCUCUCCUUUUCUCUCUCGCCUUCUUCAGCCUGCCCCCAUUUCAAAAUCCAGGCAAACCAAUAUCUAAGUGCAAAACAUGGAUGGCUUUGGCAAAGGGUUCAGGCUUCUCCGCUUUUACCCGAGUAGGCCACCAGCUGUGAAGCCUUCGUCCAGCCUGGGAAAAUACUUUGUGGCUCAAAUUUUUCCCUGAGAUCCUGAAAUCUGAGUGGCCCUCUCUCUCUCUCUGUCUCUCUCACACACACACACACACACACAUGCAUGCAUAUCUUUUCCAACUGUUUAAAAUGUCCAUCUAUCAGUGGGACCUUGAAAAGCAGAGGCAUUGUGCUGCCUGAAGCAAAGGGCAGGGCCUCAACCUCAGCUGAAUCCCAAUUAAUUUCAGUGGGUCUACUCUGAGGAGGGGAGGAAAGAGCUGUCCGUUUUGGUUCUUGCAACGUCUCAUUUUUCCAAUCUUAAAUUCAGU